UACAGAGGUCCCGAGCGUUGUUCGGAUUCAUUGGGCGUAAAGGGUGCGUAGGUGGCGCUGUAAGUGGGGUGUGAAAUCCCGGGGCUUAACUCCGGAACUGCAUUCCAUACUGCCGUGCUUGAGGACUGGAGAGGAGACUGGAAUUUACGGUGUAGCGGUGAAAUGCGUAGAUAUCGUAAGGAAGACCAGUGGCGAAGGCGGGUCUCUGGACAGUUCCUGACGCUGAGGCACGAAGGCCAGGGGAGCAAACGGG
rnacentral:rRNA from 1 species